rnacentral:rRNA from 1 species
CACGUAGGGGGGCGAGCGUUGUCCGGAAUCAUUGGGCGUAAAGAGCUCGUAGGCGGCUCAGUAAGUCGGGUGUGAAACCCUCAGGCUCAACCUGGGGACGCCACCCGAUACUGCUGUGGCUAGAGUCCAGUAGGGGAGUGUGGAAUUCCCGGUGUAGCGGUGAAAUGCGCAGAUAUCGGGAGGAACACCAGCGGCGAAGGCGGCACUCUGGGCUGGUACUGACGCUAAGGAGCGAAAGCGUGGGUAGCAAACAGG